AUGGGGGCCAUGGCGGAGGAGGCGGAGCACGAGGGCUGCGUGGAGAACCGGCAGCCCCUCGCGGCGUCGAGCGAGUCGGUGUCCGAGGGCAGCAGCUAUGGCGGCGCCGGUGCGCCCGCGCGGAUGUCGCCGCCCGUGUCCGGCUCGGUGAAUUCCGUCUCCGGUCUCAGGCGAACAAGUGGGCCUAUAAGGAGAGCGAAGGGUGGCUGGACAUCACAAGAGGAUGAAACAUUGCGGAAGGCAGUUGAGACUUUCAAUGGUAGAAGCUGGAAGAAAAUAGCUGAAUUCUUUCCGGAUAGGACAGAGGUACAAUGUUUACAUCGAUGGCAGAAGGUUCUUAACCCUGAACUCAUCAAAGGUCCUUGGACUCAAGAGGAAGAUGAUAAAAUUAUUGAUCUUGUAAAGAAGUAUGGACCAACAAAAUGGUCCGUCAUUGCAAGGUCACUACCUGGACGUAUAGGCAAGCAAUGUCGAGAGAGGUGGCAUAAUCAUCUGAAUCCAGACAUACGGAAAGAUGCUUGGACUGCUGAGGAGGAACAGGCACUGAUUAAUGCCCAUCGGGAAUAUGGGAAUAAAUGGGCAGAAAUAGCAAAAGUUCUUCCUGGAAGGACUGAUAAUUCUAUAAAGAAUCAUUGGAAUAGUUCUUUGAGAAAGAAGUUAGAUGUCUAUGGCACCAGAAAUAUUUUGGCAAUUCCAAGACUAGUUGGUCAUGAUGACUUCAAGGAUAAACAGAAGUCGUUGGCUUCUGAGGGCCAUCUUGAUCUGAACACAGUGCCCGGCAUCACUUCAAAAAACCUGCCUGAAAUAGCUCAUCAUUCUAAUUUUAGCUCACAUCUACAGUCAUACAAACUGGAUCAUGCCAAGGACCGCUCAGGGUUCCUAUCCAUUUCUUUUUUACCAACUGUGCAGCCACUAACUUCUUAUGAAGUGUCAUCGGUGGUUAAUGGCUCUGCUGUUACUUCAGCGGCACAAGGUCUGGAAAGUGAUUCUGUUCGUGACAAGGGUUUGGAAAUUAUUUCUGUUCAUGAGAAGGGACUCAAGGUUGAUUCCACACUUGAUACCCUGGGGGAACCUGAUAGCACUCAGCUAGAUGCUGUACCAGCUAAAGGUGAAGAAUCAUCUUUGAAGAAUGAUGCACAGUCUAGCCUUGGUCCUCUUUGUUACCAGAUUCCUAACAUGAAUGAUGUAGCCCCUGCCAGUUCCUCACUCAUUUCUGAACAUCAAACCGUGCACCAGACAUCUGAGCAUUGCAGGAAUGGAGCACUAUCCCCCAAUGGUUGCACGACGCCAACGAAGGGAACAAUGUCAGUCCAGUUAAGUGUUGAUUCAAUAUUGAAGAUUGCUGCUGACAGCUUCCCAGUCACCCCUUCAAUAUUAAGAAGAAGAAAACGAGAAAGACCGACACCUGCUAGUGAUUUGAAGUUUAGUGAACCAAACACUGAUAGCUUUUACACCCCUGCUGGGAAGCACCCUGCUACAGACACCCCAGAGUCAUUUAGAACUGCAUCCUUUCUGUCACUGGGUUCUCUUGAUGGGCUAUCGAGUUCUGCAAGGGGCUUUGAUGUUUCACCUCCAUACCGGAUAAGGGCAAAGAGAAUGUGUCUCACAAAAUCUGUUGAGAAACAACUAGAUUUUUCAUCAAAUGGAUUGGGCACUUGUGGUUCUGAGGUCCUGAACUCACCUCAGCAGAAUUCUCAAAGCACACAUAGUUUGGGUGAAGCCUCAAUAAUGAAGGAAAAGGAACUUAACGGGCAUGUUACCCAGCUGGAAACUUCAACCAAGAACAUAACGUAUACGACAAACAUGGAUGUAACCUAA
rnacentral:rRNA from 1 species